UAAGCGGUUGAAGGUGUGUGGUAACGCAUGCUGGACGUAUCAGAAGUGCGAAUGCUGACAUGAGUAACGAUAAAGGGGGUGAAAAACCUCCUCGCCGGAAGACCAAGGGUUCCUGUCCAACGUUAAUCGGGGCAGGGUAAGUCGACCCCUAAGGCGAGGCCGAAAGGCGUAGUCGAUGGGAAACGGGUUAAUAUUCCCGUACUUCUUACAAUUGCGAUGGGGGGACGGAGAAGGCUAGGUGGGCCUGGCGACGGUUGUCCAGGUUCAAGUGCGUAGGCUUAAGAGUUAGGUAAAUCCGGCUCUUUCUAAGGCUGAGACACGACGUCGAGCACCUACGGGUGUGAAGUCAUUGAUGCCAUGCUUCCAGGAAAAGCCUCUAAGCUUCAGAUUGUAAGGAAUCGUACCCCAAACCGACACAGGUGGUCGGGUAGAGAAUACCAAGGCGCUUGAGAGAACUCGGGUGAAGGAACUAGGCAAAAUGGUACCGUAACUUCGGGAGAAGGUACGCUCUCGACGGUGAAGUCCCUUGCGGAUGGAGCUAUUGAGAGUCGCAGAUACCAGGUGGCUGCAACUGUUUAUUAAAAACACAGCACUGUGCAAAAUCGUAAGAUGACGUAUACGGUGUGACGCCUGCCCGGUGCCGGAAGGUUAAUUGAUGGGGUUAGACUUCGGUCGAAGCUCUUGAUCGAAGCCCCGGUAAACGGCGGCCGUAACUAUAACGGUCCUAAGGUAGCGAAAUUCCUUGUCGGGUAAGUUCCGACCUGCACGAAUGGCGUAAUGAUGGCCACGCUGUCUCCACCCGAGACUCAGUGAAAUUGAAAUCGCUGUGAAGAUGCAGUGUACCCGCGGCUAGACGGAAAGACCCCGUGAACCUUUACUACAGCUUGGCACUGAACAUUGACCCUACAUGUGUAGGAUAGGUGGGAGGCUUUGAAGCACGUACGCCAGUAUGUGUGGAGCCGUCCUUGAAAUACCACCCUU
rnacentral:rRNA from 1 species